UGCCCCGUAGUGUAACGGCAGCACGACAGCCUUUGGAGCUGAAAGCUCAGGUUCGAAUCCUGACGGGGCAG
rnacentral:tRNA from 1 species